UUUCCAAACCACAAGCUAGAACUAGCACAUUUUCAUUUCACUGGUAGUAAUGGGAAGUUUCGACUCCCUGUGUAUUCGUCUGCUCAUAGUGAACCACAAAGUCCAGCAUUCAUAGCGAAUCUUAAUACCACCUGCUGGGUAGAGGGGGUGUGGCCACAAACUUGAAUAAUGGCGUUGUUUACUUCGAACAACCAACACAGUAAUGUCAGAACUUAUUUAGGCAAGAUUAUUUUGAAAACGUUUGUUUUUCACUGUUUGUCAUCAUGCCCAUAUGGUGUUCUGUGCUAAUUACAAACAAGCGCGAAAAUGAGUUAUUUUUCACCAUUCCACCUACAAGAGAGACUCCCCGAUUCUGCCAGUGGCUUGCGGCUAUCAAGAAUGAUGCUGUACCCAAAGAUUAUCAGAGGGAUUUUCAGGCUGAACUGAUGGGGAAUCCAUUUCGAAGACAGCUGAGAAGUGAUGCUAUACCAUCGAUUUAAAAUAUAUAUAAUAUAAUUUCCUUCACAACAAAACGGAAGAUUCUCAAUUAAAGGUGGUACAGAAUCUGAUUCCACCAAAAUGCACUUCCAACCCCUAGCUCUGCACAACGUGAAGGUUAUCUGGGGUCAUUCCACAGUGCCCUGCUGAAAAAUACCCAAAGCGGGGGCAUUUUGGGUACACAAGCCUGAGGGAGCGGACACACCUUGCGGACAGAAACCAGCAAGGGACACCGAAAGGUAUAAAAUCAAGACCACAACAGUAAUGACACAACCACCUCAUUCUUCUCUCUGCAGAUUCUCAAAACACAAUACAAAGACAUGUCUACAAAAAUCCCCUGCAAAGGGCUACUAUUGACAAGAAUAAUCUGUCAAUGGGCUGGGGAGGUUUACAGACAGUACCUUGAGAU